rnacentral:tRNA from 1 species
CCUGUUGUGGCGUAACUGGUGUGCGCAUAUGCCUGAAGAGCAUGGGGAGGCGGUUCGAUUCCGUCCAAUGGGACCA